rnacentral:rRNA from 1 species
GACGUAGGGGGCGAGCGUUGUCCGGAUUUAUUGGGCGUAAAGAGCUCGUAGGCGGCUCGUCGCGUCGACCGUGAAAACCCGCGGCUUAACUGCGGGCUUGCGGUUGAUACGGGCGGGCUAGAGUUCGGUAGGGGAGACUGGAAUUCCUGGUGUAGCGGUGAAAUGCGCAGAUAUCAGGAGGAACACCGGUGGCGAAGGCGGGUCUCUGGGCCGAUACUGACGCUGAGGAGCGAAAGCGUGGGGAGCGAACAGG